CGGAGGGUGCAAGCGUUAUCCGGAAUCAUUGGGUUUAAAGGGUCCGCAGGCGGUCUUAUAAGUCAGUGGUGAAAGCCUACAGCUUAACUGUAGAACUGCCAUUGAUACUGUAAGACUUGAAUUCGGUCGAAGUGGGCGGAAUGUGACAUGUAGCGGUGAAAUGCUUAGAUAUGUCACAGAACACCGAUAGCGAAGGCAGCUCACUAGGCCUGGAUUGACGCUCAUGGACGAAAGCGUGGGGAGCAAACAGGAUUAGAUACCCUGGUAGUCCACGCCGUAAACUAUGAUUACUCGUUUUCGGCGAUAUACAGUCGGAGACUAAGCGAAAGUGAUAAGUAAUCCACCUGGGGAGUACGAUCGCAAGGUUA
rnacentral:rRNA from 1 species